rnacentral:rRNA from 1 species
UACGUAGGGGGCAAGCGUUGUCCGGAUUUAUUGGGCGUAAAGAGCGUGUAGGCGGCCGUACAGGUCAGCUGUGAAAACUCGAGGCUCAACCUCGAGACGUCGGUUGAAACCGUACGGCUAGAGUCCGGAAGAGGAGAGUGGAAUUCCCGGUGUAGCGGUGAAAUGCGCAGAUAUCGGGAAGAACACCCGUGGCGAAGGCGGCUCUCUGGGACGGUACUGACGCUGAGACGCGAAAGCGUGGGGAGCGAAUGGG